GGCAGUGUGACAAGGGAUAUGCCAGCGGGCGUAAUAUUCCUACAGCAGAAAUGUUUCACAACCUCGAUUGCAGGGAGCUGAAGACGUGAUAUAUUCAGACAGAGACCACAAUGCAUAGACUGUUAUAUGGUCUCCGAUUCAGUUUUGCAGGUGUGAAGAAUCAAGAACAAAUUAAUUGACAGGAGUUUUGCAACAGUGAACAUAGUGAAGUGGAAGAUAAGACAUUUGAAAGGUACCUGGAUUUCACAAUCUUACACCAGCUACAUUUAAGAAGAUCUUGCUCACACAAUUCAGACAAGGGACUCGCCGGAUGAUGAACAGUCCUCCUGAUAACAACCAACAGAUUCACCUCAGAAAGUGAUGAUUCUGAAUGAAUAAUGCCACAUCAGUGUGACUCUAAAACUCGUUGGAGAAGUUUAAAGGACACGUACAAGCGCAAAUAAAGAGAAUUAAAAGAAAGCAGAAAAAGUGGUGCUGGCACUGCAGACAUAAAGGAACUUAAAAUGGUCCUGGUUUAAGUCCCUUGUGUUCUUGGAUGAUUAUAUGGAGGAUGAUUGUACUGACAGCAACAUGCCAAGCGACAAAGAAGACGCUGACGUCCAGGAACAAGAUGAUCUCCAUAGUGACGACGAACAAACAUCCCCACUGCAAGAACAAAACUUAUGCGGAAGAAACGUAGCAUGUCUGUGUCUGCCUCCCCAAGCACCUCAUCAAGGUCUGUUUCUCCUUCACCCGCACCACCCAAAAAGAAACAAGUGAAAAAAAAAUCCAACAACGAAGAGUCAUCUCAAAUAGUGUCGAUGUUAAAGGAGAGCCGUGAGAGAAACCAGGAGAGGCAAGAACAACGGGAUAAAAUAUUUGCCAGUGUCCUUAACAAAGAUCACAACAGUGACGGGCUAUUUUGGAUGUCAUAUGCUGCUCAACUGAGUCAACUUUCAGAAUCCAGCAAGAGCAUGGUCAAAAUCAAACUUGCUCAGAUGUUCCACGAAGCUACUUUUGGUUCAAAUGUCCACAAUCAAAGUUACUACCCACAACAAGCGGGUACUUUUGAAUACCAACCACAAAUGUGGAAUAUUUAACAAUAUUUGACAAUCAGAAUGGCUCACAAUAAUUGACAGAGAGUAUAGCUCACAAUAUUUGACAAAGAGUAUAGUUCACAAUAUUUGACAAAUAGUAUUUUAUUUAGAUUUUUAAAAUCUUAUUUUGUACCAUACACCGAAGAGUGAUAAAUCAAUGAUUUUGAAGUUUGUUCUUUUUUUAAACCAACGCUAAAUGAACGUAACUGACCGUAAUG